rnacentral:lncRNA from 1 species
AAAAUGAUUCAUUUUAAUUUACAAUGCAAUUUUUUUUUCUUUUCAGUUCUACUUUUUAAUUAUUACUAUUUUCAUAUUCUUGAUAAUGAAUAUUUUGAUAAAAAAUGUAUUUUUUCUUUUUAUUUAUUCAUGUAAAAAUUAUAUGGGAUGGAGGAAACGACUUAGGAGUGUAUUGGAAAGAAAUAACUUAGCUUUUGAUAUAUCAUUAAGAAUUCAAUAAUGUUUUCAAGAGGAAAGCAAAAUGAAUUUAAAUAUUAUUGAUAUAUUGUGAUGUUAUUUU